rnacentral:lncRNA from 1 species
ACACCUACAAAAAAGUUAGCCAUUCGCUUCCAAAUAUCUUCAUCGCUGUGUUCAUGAGUUUUGGAUUGCCUUAGUAAAGAUGAUUAGAAUCAAAGUAUUUUACAAAUGGCUUCUAUUAAGUUUCAACCACAUCAAUAUCCAUCUCAUCCUCAUGUUUGGAUUGUUCUAUAGCCGCAGACUUCAAUGCUUUCUUCUGAUGAAUCAACAAAUCAUCAAGACUCCACCAAGAAAUCCCUUCCUGAUCAGACGCAGUGAAAGGCUGUGCCAUAGUUCGUAAAAAUUUUUUCGCCAAAGCGAGGGACAUAUCAGUGCUUAAAUUUGUAGCGCCUUCGGUUAUAUACUGUUGAAUCCAUUUAGGUAAUUUUGUACGCUUAUCAGACCGACCAUAUCGUUUAUCUGCUAACACCAUAAUUCCAUGAUCAUCUUUUCCACGCAAAACGCGACCUAAACAUUGGGCAGCAUGCCGCAUGGCAUCAAAUGUUAAGAAAUCUGCUUCCCGAAUUUGAUACGUAUCCCUCAGAAAUUCUAACCGUGCUUUUAAAACACGACUCUCAGUAUACUGAUACGGAAUACCAAACAUGAUUACUGCUCUACCAUAAUGAUGAUCAAAAUCCACUCCUUCUGAGACUUUUCCUCUAGCGACUGACAGCAAUACUGCUCCACGGCCAUUGCUGCAAGCAGCCCGGUAAGUCUCUAAGGCGAGAGUUGUUUCAUGAGGAUCUGGUGUUUCCACCAAAAUCAACUUAUACUUCCAGACUUCAUCUAGAAUACCCAUACUUUGCCAACUAGAAACAAUACUUUCAAGGUAGAGAUAACUUGGAAAAAAUGCGACUAAGCCAUCAGGUGUAAUUUUCGAAAACUCAACCAGUAUAUUACCGUAAUUGCGAACAACACUAGGAUCAUUACGGGCUUCAAAUUUUGAAGAAAUAGCUACUUGAUCGCUACCCCGAGUAACUACCAUAGGAAGGAAACAGUUUCGUGCAAGUGACAUUCCAUACGAUUCCUGCAUAACAGUAUUAAACUGCAACAUCUUGGGGUACAUAUCGAGGGGGGAUAAAGUACCACUCGUGAUAAUCACAGACCUAAAUCUUUCGAAAACUGGUUUAAUAGCUAUUGAGGCGUCAAGACAGGAAAACCGCAAUAUUGGAUUGGGAACUGUAGCAUUUUCUGUUUCAAAGGGUUCCAAAAUUAGGAUAAAUCCACGCUCAUAAGUAGCAACAAGGGUCGCAAAAGCUACUACUUGCUGCAAAGAAUGAAAAUCUUCAACUAGUGAAAUUUGUAAGGCACGAACAAGACUAGUGAGUCGCUCAGCGCAAAACCGAAGCGGCUUUUUGUCUAUAAAUGUAAUGUCUUUAACAUGUUGCAAAAAAGAAGUUGGUGUUUCAGCAAUAACGUGCAAAACUUUCAUCCUUGUUUUUAAAUAUUCUACAAAACGCUUCAAAAAUGCAAUAAAAUGUUCGGCUCGUCGAAUAUUUCCAGGAACAGCUUCCUUUAAAACAUCCUCAGGCAAAACGGGAUUCGCCAUAAACUGGUCUUCGUCAUUUGCGGCAUUAGCAUCUUGAAGGCCCCGAACAAGCUUUUGGUAUUCAUCCUGAAGUUUUUUUGAGUCAGACUGUUUUACUUCGUUGACUUUUUGCUCAAGAGACAAAAUGCUCUUCGAAGCUUUUCUCAAAGAAGAUUCUGUCAAAUCAAUACUUAAAGACUCAAUACACACAUUGUCAAUAUUGUGUGCUUCAUCAAAAACAACAAUGCAAUCUUUACUGAGUUCUCGAGAAACUCGUUCAGCAAUUUUGGGGUCUAGUAAAUAAUGAUACGAAUAAAUA